AGGACGAACGCUGGCGGCGUGCUUAACACAUGCAAGUGGAGCGACGAACCAGGGCUUGCCCUGGGGCAGAGCCGCGAACGGGUGAGUAACACGUGGGUUACCUGCCUCGAUGACCGGGACAACCCGAGGAAACUCGGGCUAAUACCGGAUGUGCCCGCAAGGGGAAAGGAAGCUUCGGCCUCCGCAUCGAGAUGGGCCCGCGGCCCAUUAGCUUGUUGGUGAGGUAACGGCUCACCAAGGCUUCGAUGGGUAGCUGGUCUGAGAGGACGAUCAGCCACACUGGGACUGAGACACGGCCCAGACUCCUACGGGAGGCAGCAGUGGGGAAUCUUGCGCAAUGCGCGAAAGCGUGACGCAGCAACGCCGCGUGGGGAAGAAGGCUCUCGGGUUGUAAACCCCUUUCAGUUGGGACGAAGCUUCGUCGGUUAAUGGCCGGCUGGAGUGACGGUACCUUCACAAGAAGCACGGCUAACUACGUGCCAGCAGCCGC
rnacentral:rRNA from 1 species